rnacentral:rRNA from 1 species
GACGAACGCUGGCGGCGCGCUUAACACAUGCAAGUCGAGCGAAGCGGCGGACGGGUGAGUAACACGUGAGGAACCAGCCUUAGAAAUUGGGAUAGCCGCGGGAAACCGGGAUUAAUACCAAAUGGUCUAAGAUGGACUCGCGUCCCAUUAGCUAGUUGGUGGGUAACGGGCCACCAAGGCGACGAUGGGGAGACGGCCUGAGAGGGUGAACGGCCACAUUGGAACUGAGAAACGGUCCAAACUCUACGGGAGGGAGCAGUGGGGAAUAUUGCACAAUGGAGGGAACUCUGAUGCAGCGACGCCGCGUGAACGCAGAAGGCUUUCGAGUCGUAAAGUUCUUUUAUAUGGGAAGCGGUACCAUAAGAAAAAGCCCCGGCUAACUACGUGCCAGCAGCCGCGGUAAUUC